AUACGGAGGGAGCGAGCGUUAAUCGGAAUUACUGGGCGUAAAGCGCGCGUAGGCGGCUUUGUAAGUCGGAUGUGAAAGCCCUGGGCUCAACCUGGGAAUUGCAUUCGAUACUGCAUGGCUAGAGUAUGGUAGAGGGAAGUGGAAUUUCCGGUGUAGCGGUGAAAUGCGUAGAUAUCGGAAGGAACACCGGUGGCGAAGGCGACUUCCUGGGCCAAUACUGACGCUGAGGCGCGAAAGCGUGGGUAGCAAACAGAAUUAGAAACCCGGGUAGUCC
rnacentral:rRNA from 1 species